rnacentral:rRNA from 1 species
AUUGAACGCUGGCGGCAUGCCUUACACAUGCAAGUCGAACGGCAGCACGGGUGCUUGCACCUGGUGGCGAGUGGCGAACGGGUGAGUAAUACAUCGGAACAUGUCCUGUAGUGGGGGAUAGCCCGGCGAAAGCCGGAUUAAUACCGCAUACGAUCUACGGAUGAAAGCGGGGGACCUUCGGGCCUCGCGCUAUAGGGUUGGCCGAUGGCUGAUUAGCUAGUUGGUGGGGUAAAGGCCUACCAAGGCGACGAUCAGUAGCUGGUCUGAGAGGACGACCAGCCACACUGGGACUGUGACACGGCCCAGACUCCUACGGGAGGCAGCAGUGGGGAAUUUUGGACAAUGGGCGAAAGCCUGAUCCAGCAAUGCCGCGUGUGUGAAGAAGGCCUUCUGGUUGUAAAGCACUUUUGUCCGGAAAGAAAUCCUUGGCCCUAAUACGGUCGGGGGAUGACGGUACCGGAAGAAUAAGCACCGGCUAACUACGUG